rnacentral:tRNA from 2 species
ACCUGGCUGGCUCAGUCGGUAGAGCAUGCAACUCUUGAUCUCGGGGUUGUGGGUUCGAGCCCCACGUCGGGUG